rnacentral:piRNA from 1 species
ACUAGAAUUUCCUGGUGAUUUGG